AGUGGUUCUCGAGUGACGCACCCUGGAACCAGAGAGGAGAGAGCCUGAUUCCGGGGUGUGUCACCCAAGAACUGCC
rfam:Myotis brandtii contig247358, whole genome shotgun sequence.